AUGUUCAUCACCUGCUUGCCCUCUCCUGCUACGAGCCGUCCGCACGUCAGCAGCCUUCAUGGACCCGAUGAAGAUGGGGAUCACCCAGGCCUCGACCUUUCCUCCUUGGACCCCGCUUGCCCGACCCCAAGUUCCAGGACUUCAGUUCAAAUUUUUUGUUCAAUUAUAUAUACAUUCAACGAUUUUAACCGCAGACUUGUAGUGGAAAUUGGUUAUGGUGGCAUGUUGCCACUACCCGCUAUUUCUAAGCUCAAUUUGAAAUUUAGCACAUGGCUCAUGAGAAUGGUAGAUGGGCCAAACAGAUGCAUCAAACUAUCUCAUGACAGAUCUAUUAGGUUCUGGCUAGGGGAUAUACACAAAGUUUUCGGUAUCCCAUGUGGCAAGCUAGACAUACACAACCUUGAAUAUCAAAAAACCGAAAGUUCAGUUCAGUUUUUUAGAUCCGUGUUGGGUAUGCCUGACAAAGGGAAUCAAGUGCUGAAAUGUGUUGAAAUGGUUAUAAUGAAAGAUCUGAAUGAAUCAACUUCCAGUAAUUUAGAGAUUGACUGUUUCGAGAUGGCUUUCGUGAUGUUUUACAUGGGCCACAUCCUGACACCGUCCAGUAAACAUGAUCAUGCCAUCAUUGAUUACUAG
rnacentral:rRNA from 1 species